rnacentral:lncRNA from 1 species
UUCAAGGUUGAAAGAGAUCUUCAAUCAAAACGCUUCCCUGUCACAGGAGGAAGAGCUCUGCAUUGAACUGAUUACUGAAAUCGCUCUUGCUGGGGAAGCAUAAGCUAAAACAAAAGCAACAACAAUAUAAACCUGCUACAGUUGUGCAGGAACUCUGUGACUUAAGGAUGGAGACUUUCACUUACAGUUAAGAACUCUGCACAAAUUGUUCUGAGAGAACCCAGGAAGUUUGGGGAAAACCGGGCCAGAAGCACAACUCUGGGCACGAGAGAGAACAAGGAGAAGCUUUCCCAGCGGAGGCCGGGAUGCAGGCCAUCACUGUGGUAGUGAAGACUCCCAACAGAGGAGUCCAGCCGGGGGCUGCCCAGCUGCUUCACCCUACAUAG